AUCUCAGUGUCCUGCCUCACUCUCAGCUGUUGUGCAGUAAAGCCACCAAGAAACAUUCAUCAACCCGCCCAGGCACUGCCAACCCUCCUGAACGAGGGGACAAAGUGAAAACUGGAGAUGUGUGCGCUCAGACCGCAGGGCUGGGAAAGUGGAGCUGUCUGAGUGUACGCUGGUGAGAAA